AUGACAUACAGGCUGUAGGUCCAGUAG
rnacentral:sRNA from 1 species